rnacentral:rRNA from 1 species
UGAAAAGCACUUCGAACAGAAGAGUGAAAUAGUCCCUGAACCCAUACGCCUACAAGCUGUCGGAGCCGCUUCGUGCGGUGACGGCGUGCCUUUUGCAUAAUGAGCCUACGAGUUACUCAUCACCAGCGAGGUUAAGUACUUCAGGUACGUAAGCCGAAGCGAAAGCGAGUCUGAAUAGGGCGUCAAGUUGGUGGUGGUAGACGCGAAACCUUAGUGAUCUACCCAUGGGCAGGGUGAAGGUUUGGUAACACAAACUGGAGGCCCGAACCGGUAAACGUUGAAAAGUUUUCGGAUGACCUGUGGGUAGGGGUGAAAGGCCAAUCAAACUGGGAAAUAGCUCGUACUCUCCGAAAUGCAUUUAGGUGCAGCCUCUGUUGUUUUGUUCUAGAGGUAGAGCUACUGAUUGGAUGCGAGGGCUUCACCGCCUAUCAAAUCCGGCCAAACUCCGAAUGCUAGAACAUGAAGACAGGGAGUGAGCCAGCGGGUGCUAAGGUCCGUUGACGAAAGAGGGAGAACUCAGACCAUCAGCUAAGGUCCCCAAUUAUAUGCUAAGUUGGAAUAAAAACGGGGUGGGACUGCUUAGACAGCUAGGAUGUUGGCUUGGAAGCAGCCAUUCAUUUAAAGAGUGCGUAACAGCUCACUAGUCGAGCGGUCCUGCAUGGAUAAUACGCGGGCAUAAGCAUAUAACCGAAGCUAUGGGAUUGUAGAUGAUACAAUCGGUAGGAGAGCAUUCCAUUCAGCAUAGAAGCAGUACCGUGAGGUAUUGUGGAGCGGAUGGAAAAGCAAAUGUAGGCAUAAGUAACGAUAAUGCGGGUGAGAACCCCGCACGCCGAAAGAUCAAGGAUUCCCCGGCAAUGUCAAUCAUCCGGGGGUAAGUCGGAUCCUAAGGGUAAGCCGAGUGGCGAUCCCGAUGGUAAACAGGUUAAUAUUCCUGUACUGAUCAUAACUGCGAUGCAGCGACGCAGAGGUGACACUGCUGCGUACUGACGGAAUAGUACGUUGAAACCCGUAUUCUUUGAUACCGGUAGUGAAGCACGCCGGUAGAGAUGAAAGGUGAUAGUACCGCAAUGCUUCGGUUGCGCGGAUAAUGCAGGUAAGCUGACUGCCAAGAAAACCUGCUAAGCUUCAGGUAAUGAUCAUCCGUACUGUAAACGGACACACGUGAUCAGGUAGAAAAUACUAAGGCGCUCGAGAGAUUCAUGGUUAAGGAACUAGGCAAAAUGGUCCUGUAACUUCGGGAUAAAGGACGCUCUUGUGAAAGAGCCGCAGAUAAUAGGCCCAGGCGACUGUUUACCAAAAACACAUGGCUAUGCUAAUUCGCAAGAAGAUGUAUAUGGCCUGACACCUGCCCGGUGCCGGAAGGUUAAGAGGAGAGCUCAGAUGUAAGUCGAAGGUUUGAAUUGAAGCCCCGGUAAACGGCGGCCGUAACUAUAACGGUCCUAAGGUAGCGAAAUUCCUUGUCGGGUAAGUUCCGACCUGCACGAAUGGUGUAACGAUCUGGGUACUGUCUCAACCAUGAGCUCGGUGAAAUUGUAGUUCCGGUGAAGAUGCCGGAUACCCGCAACGGGACGGAAAGACCCCGUGAACCUUUACUGCAGCUUUGCAUUGAUUUUGGGUAACAGAUGUGUAGGAUAGGUCGGAGGCUUUGAUGCUGCGUCGUCAGGCGUAGAGUAGCCGUCGUUGAAAUACGACCCUUUUGUUAUCUGAGGUCUAAUCCCGUUAGGGAGACAUUGCAUGGUGGGUAGUUUGACUGGGGUGGUCGCCUCCAAAAGUGUAACGGAGGCUUCUCAAGGUACCCUCAAGGCGUUUGGUAAUCGUCUGCAGAGUGCAAUGGCAUAAGGGUGCUUGACUGUGAGACCGACACGUCGAUCAGGUUGGAAACAAGAGCAUAGUGAUCCGGUGGUUCCGCAUGGAAGGGCCAUCGCU